ACAGCCAAAUCACGUUGAAACACCAAUUAUCGUCUGAUCACUGAAGUUAAGUAAUGUUGAUCCUGGUCAAUACCUAGAUGAGUGACCGCUUGGGAAUACCAGGUGCU